rnacentral:rRNA from 14 species
AGGUUAGAUGGGCUGUUUAAUUGGGGCGAUGACCUUAUUUAAGGGAACUAAAGGUGAACAAAGCUAUGAGAUUGGGCUUUGAGAUAGGACAUGUAAGUGCAAAGAUAGAUGUGUGGCUUAAUGGUCAACUGCUUGAGCCAGUAUUGAAAUGGUGUCUUAGUGAGC